GCUGGGUAUGGUGGCACAUGCCUGUAGUCCCAGCUACUCAGGAGGCUGAGGCUGGAGGGUUGCUUGAGUCCAGGAGUUCUGGGCUGUAGUGUGCUAUGCCAAUCAGGUGUCUGCACUAAGUUUGGCAUCAGUAUGGUGACCUCUCGGGAGCAGGGGACUACCAGGUGGCCUAAGGAGGGGUAAACUGGCCCAGGUCAGAAACGGAGCAGGUCAAAACUUCCGUGCUGAUCAGUAGUGGGAUCGCGCCUGUGAAUAGCCACUGCACUCCAGCCUGGGCAACAUAGCGAGACCCCAUCUCU
rnacentral:SRP_RNA from 1 species